rnacentral:rRNA from 1 species
CCCUUAGAUGUCCUGGGCCGCACGCGCGCUACACUGAUGCAUGCAACGAGUUUAUAACCUUGGCCUGAAAGGUCUGGGUAAUCUUUUGAACGUGCAUCGUGAUAGGGAUAGAUUAUUGCAAUUGUUAAUCUUGAACGAGGAAUUCCUAGUAAACGCGAGUCAUCAGCUCGCAUUGAUUACGUCCCUGCCCUUUGUACACACCGCCCGUCGCACCUACCGAUUGAAUGGUUCGGUGAAGAUCUCGGACUUCGAUAUUUAUUCUUUAUUGGGUUUAUAUUGUGGGAAGUUAUCUAAACCUCAUCAUUUAGAGGAAGGUGAAGUCGUAACA